AACGUUUACACACAUUGGAGUUUUUUACUUUAAUUUAAUUCUUUCUGCUUUGAAUCGAAAGGUUCAAGGCAAAAAACAAACACAAACAAUUUUAUUUUAUUAUAAUUUUUUAAACUAAACCAAAAUUCCUAACGGAAAUUUUAAAAUAAUUUAAAACUUUCAACAACGGAUCUCUUGGUUCUCGCAUCGAUGAAGAACGUAGCGAAUUGCGAUAAGUAAUGUGAAUUGCAGAUACUCGUGAAUCAUUGAAUUUUUGAACGCACAUUGCGCCCUUGAGCAUUCUCAAGGGCAUGCCUGUUUGAGCGUCAUUUCCUUCUCAAAAGAUAAUUUUUUAUUUUUUGGUUGUGGGCGAUACUCAGGGUUAGCUUGAAAUUGAAGAUUGUUUCAAUCUUUUUUAAUUCAACACUUAGCUUCUUUGGAGACGCUGUUCUCGCUGUGAUGUAUUUAUGAAUUUAUUCGUUUUACUUUACAAGGGAAAUGGUAAUGUACCUUAGGCAAAGGGUUGCUUUUAAUAUUCAUCAAGUUGACCUCAAAUCAGGUAGGAUGCUGAUG
rnacentral:rRNA from 1 species